rnacentral:rRNA from 1 species
GUAGGUGGCAAGCGUUGUCCGGAAUUAUUGGGCGUAAAGCGCGCGCAGGCGGUUCUUUAAGUCUGAUGUGAAAGCCCACGGCUCAACCGUGGAGGGUCAUUGGAAACUGGAGGACUUGAGUACAGAAGAGGAAAGCGGAAUUCCACGUGUAGCGGUGAAAUGCGUAGAGAUGUGGAGGAACACCAGUGGCGAAGGCGGCUUUCUGGUCUGUAACUGACGCUGAGGCGCGAAAGCGUGGGGAGCAAACAGGAUUAGAUACCCUGGUAGUCCACGCCGUAAACGAUGAGUGCUAAGUGUUAGGGGGGUUUCCGCCCCCCUUAGUGCUGCAGCUAACGCAUUAAGCACUCCGCCUGGGAUACGGCCGCAAGGCUG